rnacentral:rRNA from 1 species
UGGGGAAUAUUGCACAAUGGGGGAAACCCUGAUGCAGCGACGCCGCGUGAACGAAGAAGGUAUUCGUAUCGUAAAGUUCUGUCCUAUGGGAAGAUAAUGACAGUACCAUAGAAGAAAGCUCCGGCUAAAUACGUGCCAGCAGCCGCGGUAAUACGUAUGGAGCGAGCGUUGUCCGGAAUUAUUGGGCGUAAAGGGUACGCAGGCGGUUUAAUAAGUCGAAUGUUAAAGAUCGGGGCUCAGCCCCGUAAAGCAUUGGAAACUGAUAAACUUGAGUAGUGGAGAGGAAAGUGGAAUUCCUAGUGUAGUGGUGAAAUACGUAGAUAUUAGGAGGAAUACCAGUAGCGAAGGCGACUUUCUGGACACAAACUGACGCUGAGGUACGAAAGCGUGGGGAGCAAACAGG